CCUACGGGAGGCAGCAGUAGGGAAUCUUCCACAAUGGGCGCAAGCCUGAUGGAGCAACACCGCGUGAGUGAAGAAGGGUUUCGGCUCGUAAAGCUCUGUUGUUGGAGAAGAACGUGCGUGAGAGUAACUGUUCACGCAGUGACGGUAUCCAACCAGAAAGUCACGGCUAACUACGUGCCAGCAGCCGCGGUAAUACGUAGGUGGCAAGCAUUAUCCGGAUUUAGUGGGCGUAAAGCGAGCGCAGGCGGUUGCUUAGGUCUGAUGUGAAAGCCUUCGGCUUAACCGAAGAAGUGCAUCGGAAACCGGGCGACUUGAGUGCAGAAGAGGACAGUGGAACUACAUGUGUAGCGGUGGAAUGCGUAGAUAUAUGGAAGAACACCAGUGGCGAAGGCGGCUGGCUGGUCUGCAACUGACGCUGAGGCUCGAAAGCAUGGGUAGCGAACAGGAUUAGAUACCCUAGUAGUC
rnacentral:rRNA from 1 species